GACGAACGCUGGCGGCGUGCUUAACACAUGCAAGUCGAACGGGCCUUGUCCCCUUUUUUUUUGGGGGUGGGGUUAGUGGCGAACGGGUGAGUAACACGUGAGUAACCUGCCCCUCACUUCUGGAUAACCGCUUGAAGGGGUGGCUAAUACGGGGUGUUCUGGCCUGCUCGCAUGGGUGGGUUUGGAAAGAUUCGACCGGUUUUGGUUGUUUUGGUGGGGGAUGGGCUCGCGGCCUAUCAGCUUGUUGGUGGGGUGAUGGCCUGCCAAGGCUUUGACGGGUAGCCGGCCUGAGAGGGUGGGCGGUCACACUGGGACUGAGACACGGCCCAGACUCCUACGGGAGGCAGCAGUGGGGAAUAUUGCACAAUGGGCGCAAGCCUGAUGCAGCGACGCCGCGUGAGGGAUGGAGGCCUUCGGGUUGUGAACCUCUUUCGCCAGUGAAGAAGGUCCUGCUCUUUGUGGUGGGGUUGACGGUAGCUGGGUUAAUGAAGCGCCGGCUAACUACGUG
rnacentral:rRNA from 1 species